rnacentral:rRNA from 1 species
GAUGAACGCUGGCGGCGUGCCUAAUACAUGCAAGUAGAACGCUGAAGCUUGGUGCUUGCACCGAGCGGAUGAGUUGCGAACGGGUGAGUAACGCGUAGGUAACCUGCCUCUUAGCGGGGGAUAACUAUUGGAAACGAUAGCUAAUACCGCAUAAAAGUCGAUAUCGCAUGAUAUUGAUUUGAAAGGUGCAAAUGCAUCACUAAGAGAUGGACCUGCGUUGUAUUAGCUAGUUGGUGAGGUAACGGCUCACCAAGGCGACGAUACAUAGCCGACCUGAGAGGGGGAUCGGCCACACUGGGACUGAGACACGGCCCAGACUCCUACGGGAGGCAGCAGUAGGGAAUCUUCGGCAAUGGGGGCAACCCUGACCGAGCAACGCCGCGUGAGUGAAGAAGGUUUUCGGAUCGUAAAGCUCUGUUGUAAGAGAAGAACGAGUGUGAGAGUGGAAAGUUCACACUGUGACGGUAACUUACCAGAAAGAGACGGCUAACUACGUG